GGCUCCGUAGCUCAACUGGAUAGAGCAUCCCGAUACGAUCGGGAAGGUUUAAGGUUCGAGUCCAAACGGAGUCU
rnacentral:tRNA from 1 species